GGGGAUGUAUCUCAGUGGUAGAGCAUUUGCCUAACAUUCACAAGACCCUGAGUUCAAUUCCCAGCACCACCA
rnacentral:tRNA from 1 species